CAUUUUUACGUGUUUUUUUUUUCAUUUUCCGGUUUUAGAGAUAGAUAGGAGGCCUUGCUGAUGUAAUUUUUGCUAUUACGGUUUGCAAAAAUUGUACUUUCAAAGCAGAACAGUAAUUCAGUUCGAUUUUUUCGUCUCUAUAAAUUUUUAUGCAAUCAAUGCUCUCACCCGAUUGUGUUUUUUUAAUCUUAGUUUUUUUAUUAUUUAAGUUAUCGAAACCCAACGGCCAUUUUUCAUGGGAAAAUCACAUUCUCAUUGCUCUUCACUCUGUUUUACUCUCUUUUCCGUUUUGAUAGACUGAUGGAAGGUUUUCCUGAUGUCCUGAGAUUGAAAAGAGUCCCCGAGGGCUGAGGUAAAUAACAAAAUUGAGCCAGUAAAGAUUAUCUCUUCGAUUAUUUUGAGAAUUGCAGUUUAAUAAACGAAUGCGCCAUGAGCAAAAUUAAAAUUUGCAUGUCUGAAACUCUUGUUCUCACCCAUAAAUGAUGUAAUGAGACUAGAGCCAGCAUGCAACUCCAGCGUGACUUCAACAAUGUAUUAUUACCUUAAUUUUUUUCAUUUUUGGAUGGCAAUUUUUCAGUUUUUCGUGAAAGUUGUCAAACCUCGUCGGGCAUUUUUCCCUCCCGAUAGUCUAUUUUUCAUCAAAAUUUUUUGAAAACGAUUAUGUAGAAAGUGAAAGCCAUUAUUCGAUAUCUCGUUGGUGGAAAAAAAAUCAAUCCAAUCGCGCUACUUCGACGCGAUAUCCCGGGUGUUUGAGUAACUAGUGCGAAUCUUUUUCACCCGGCCCUGACCGGUUUUGAAUAUAUAAACUAGCGUGGUCGAGACGCUCAGUCUCCCAUUUGCCUUCACCCUGUUGUACCGUUUGCAACGCUCUAUCUUGCCCCAUAAAUUAUGGAGAAAAGAUUUUCUGGGACUAUCACAAAAAAUAGUAAUAAUAAUUUCUCAAUUUUUGAGAAAAUUCUCGAUAGCCCAGAUAAGUCACUGAAUCACAUUUUUUCACCCCAUUUUAGAGAGAAAAUUUAUUGAAUUAUCUUAUCACUUUCUAUUACAUGGGAAAAGUAGUCAUUAUCAGUCGUCCUCCCACCGUUUUCCAGUCAACUUGGACUCGAUUAAAUUUGUCCCACAUGAUUUGAUUCAUUUUUUUAUCGCUAUUCCGCUGAAACUGGUAUUUUCUAAUUGCAUCAACUCAUUGAUAUUUUUUUUUCUCAUUCACUAAUAAUUUUUAACAAGAUAAGUGUUGAUGAAAUCGCGAGAUAAAAACGAACAUUCGAUGAAAUGCCACCGGGAGAGUAAUAUUCAGAGUCUAAUGCAGAAUAGAUACAGAGAAUUGCAUAGACAGUCUCUUGUGCGUAGGCGGAGCCCCGAGGGAAAGCUGAUUUCCGAUAUCUGGAAUUUUUUCAUGACCCCGUGAAUUUUUAAGGGUCGACUAGGAAGUAUCGUUAUUACAAAUGCUCCUGCCGAUCUUGCACAACAUUUUUUCCCCCAUUUUUCAGUUUUUUCCCUACUAGAAAAGAUUUUCAACAGAUAUCACUGAUUUUUGGAAUAUCCAGUGAAAGGAAAAUCAUAUGCGUAAAAUUUUUCUAUGUUAAUUCAACUCAAAGUUCACAGAAAAGGCGAGACUUGAGCAUACGAUGUGGUGUUGCAUUGAAAAAAUAUUCCUUUCGAGGGAACGAAGGAUCGUUUGAUAAAUGAGGGGAUUAAUAUAUAUGAAUUCAAAGAAAAUUUGCAAUUUCAAAUACAUUUAUACUCUACGUUUAUUUUAAUUAUUACAAUUAUAUUUUUCACAGAAAAUAUGAUUAUUUCUUAAACAUUCAUGUUGUAAAAAUAAAUAAUUGAAAUCGUUUCAAUUUCUGAUGAAUAAAUUUGUUGAUUCUGAACAAAUGGUUUUACAGCGCCAAAUUAAUGAUGUUAUAAAUUAUUUUAGUAAUCUGAUAAAUGUGCUAAUGAGAGACCCUCGAAAUUCACAAACGAUUUCCAAUAGUUUAAGUAAUACAGUCAUUGUAAAAUAUCUGGAAACUGAGGGCCAACCAGAGCUCACAUGAAAGCUCGGAUGGUCAACAUUUACGAAACUCUCAUGCACUUUACAAAAUAAAAAAAAAAUAACAAUUGAAGAAAAGGCAAAUGGCCGUAAGCCAUUGAACCAGACUUUCCCCGUUACGUGACAAAAUUACCAUGCGAAUUAAAUCGUUGCAAUUAAUCCAUAAAAAUUUCCAAUAUUAAAAUAGUACCAUCUGAUUUAUGAAUUUGCCGCGUGAGUGUUUUCCAGUUAAAUCUGACAUUUAAAAUGACACCCGUGUGUAAACGUGCGGAAGUACGUGUUAACUCGGAAUACAGGAAGCAACUGUCAAAGUGACACGCACAGGCCUACCGCAGUGGAUGCAUCCAGGUGAAUAUACAUUGCUGAUAGGAGGAAGGAAACAAUUUCAGUUGAGCCUCAAGGUUGCGCAAGUAGAUAAACGCUCACGACGGUACAUCGACUGCUCUCCUGGUAGGACCAUGGAUUCCAUGUAACACGAACGCCUGGGAGGAACUGGAAUGACUGGGCAGAAUGCUUCCCCCCGGGAUUUGAUGCAGUGCCAAAUGUAAUUACCAUGCCGCAUUCACAGUUGCAAGAGGACUGAAAAAAUUGAACGAUAAAAUGAGGGAUAAAAACAACGCGGGGAGAAAAUCCCAUUUCAGUGGCUGGGGGAGGAAUUCAAGUUUGUCGAAUUGAUCAGGAGAUCGACACGCUGCAUCUGCAGAAUGAAUUUUACACUUUUUUAGUGAGAACUGGGUACAACAAAUUUUAUUUCUCAAUUUUGAUGGAAAAGCGAGAGAAUUUUAUUAUUAAUUUUUUAGGGGUAGGAUUUUGCAUGAGGAUGUAAAUGGUUUAAUUUUUUUUGUUAAGAUUCUUCUUCAUUUUAUUCGAUUCACUAAUUUAGAAUUCGAAUUUUAUUGGUGGUAUUGAUUUAUUUUAAUUAUGUCUAGGUAAUUGUGAAGUUGUAGUGACGAAAUUCGUCGCAAUUCAAGUCCCCGAAAAUCUGCAAAACUUUUUACCUGUUUCGGUUGAAAAAAUCCUGCGGAUCGAUUGUAUUUUUUUUUAUUUACAUCUGAACAUGAUAAAUAUCCGGAAAAAAUCCGCACCCUCGUUUUCAUUCCUCUGUUUUACAUUUUUUAUGUAAGACAAGGAUGUGUGAACGGUGAAAUUUUAUUCAUAAAACGCGCUCGCCAGAACAAAAAAAACUUUCUUCUGUUCCGUCAUGUAGAGAAGCUCAGAAGGAGCACGUGUGUACACAAGUGGAUCCUCGUUGUCCAGAGAUGCAGACAAUUCUCUGGUCCAUCCACGUAGGAUGCAAAUCACCCCUGUCUCCCAUUUCCUCCGGAAUCUGAAUGUGGAUACAUGUACUAGUCGCUGAAAAAAAAAAUGUGAAUGGAAUAAUAAAAGGGGGAACAGUGUAUGAAAAUA